rnacentral:lncRNA from 1 species
UUUACUCUUAGUAAACUCAUAGCUAUGUUUACAGUCAUUCUUGGAUCCUGGAGCGAAAUGUUCUCUAGCUGGAUGACAGACACAGCUUUAGCCAGCACUUUCUGGGCUCCUGCAAACAAGCCUUGUGUCAACACUGCUCAUGGGCUCUGCUGCAGCUUGCACGGAUGGAGCUCCCUGUUAGCCACAAGGCUAACCUCAUGUAUGUGGGAAACCACUAUUUCAAGACAAGGCAAAAAUGGCUUUUAUAGAAAAGUAUAUCCUACUUUGCUUUGUGUGUGGUACUUCAAGAUGGGCAACAGUAGAAAACAUCAUAUUUAUAAAUAUUUGCUCUUUAUUAAAAUAUGUUUCAGCAAACAUUAUAGACUGAGUUCAGGGAUCCUUCUCAAAAAUGGUUCCCUGUUGCAACUAUCCUGAGUACUAUAAAAAUUGUUAGGUGUGGCAAGAAUUCAGCAAAGAGGAAAGAUUUCCAAGAAGGAAUGUAAAUAUGCAAAAGAAAAGAGAAAGUGAGAUGAAUUAAAUAUAAGGAUUCCAGGUAAAGGUAAGUACUAUUCAUAUUUGUAGAGUUACCUCAAUCAAUUUUAUAACUAUAUUAUAGACUAUAUUUAGGAAUUGUUACAUUUGUUUCUGGAAAUGCUA